CCUGAGGCUACGACUGAAAUUGAAGUGCUGGGAGGGAAAGGCAGCAAGCGGGACGUGGGCUGAGGAAGAAGUGGAAAAUGAUAGUGAGAAGGAAAGGGCUGGAGCAGUUGUGGAGAAAGUAGAGGAAGAAGCUCUUCAGAAAGAAAGGAGCUGCUGCAGAGGAAAG